AUACGGAGGGUGCAAGCGUUAAUCGGAAUUACUGGGCGUAAAGCGCGCGUGGGCGGUUUUUUAAGUCGGAUGUGAAAGCCCCGGGCUCAACCUGGGAACUGCAUCCGAUACUGGAAGACUAGAGUGCGGGAGAGGGAGGUAGAAUUCCAUGUGUAGCAGUGAAAUGCGUAGAUAUUAGGAGGAACACCAGUGGCGAAGGCGACUCUCUGGGCCAAUACUGACGCUGAGGUUCGAAAGCGUGGGUAGCGAACAGGAUUAGAUACCCUGGUAGUCCACGCAGUAAACGAUGAAUGCUAGAUGUUGGAAACAUUAGUUUUCAGUAUCGCAGCUAACGCAUUAAGCAUUCCGCCUGGGAAGUACGGCCGCAAGAUUAAAACUCAAAGGAAUUGACGGGGCCCGCACAAGCGGUGGAGUAUGUGGUUUAAUUCGACGCAACGCGCAGAACCUUACCUGGGCUUAACAUUCACUGACAGCUCUAGAGAUAGAGUUUUCUCUUCGGAGACGGUGGGAUA
rnacentral:rRNA from 1 species